rnacentral:tRNA from 1 species
UGGCAUAAUGGUUAAAGCACUUGGCUGCUAACUGAAAGGUUGGUGGUUCGAACCCACC